rnacentral:rRNA from 1 species
CUACCACGCGAGUGGAUGCCAAUCCCUAAAACCCCUCUCAGUUCGGACUGGAGUCUGCAACCCGACUCCACGAAGCUGGAUUCGCUAGUAAUCGCGCAUCAGCCACGGCGCGGUGAAUACGUUCCCGGGCCUUGUACACACCGCCCGUCAAGCCAUGGGAGCCGGGGGUACCUGAAGUGCGUAACCGCGAGGAUCGCCCUAGGGUAAAACUGGUGACUGGGGCUAAGUCGUAACAAGGUACC